AGUGAAUAGAUACCCUGGUAGUCCCAGCCGUAAACGAUGCGCGUUAGGUGUAUCGGUGACCACGAGUCACCGAGGUGCCGAAAGAGAAAUCGUGAAACGUGCCGCCUGGGAAGUACGGUCGCAAGGCUGAAACUUAAAGGAAUUGGCGGGGGAGCACCACAACAGGUGGAGCCUGCGGUUUAAUCGGACUCAACGCCGGGAAACUCACCAGUUAAGACAGCUGAAUGAUAGUCGGGCUGAAGACUCUACUUGACUAGCUGAGAGGAGGUGCAUGGCCGUCGUCAGUUCGUACUGUGAAGCAUCCUGUUAAGUCAGGCAACGAGCGAGACCCACGCCAACAGUUGCUAGCUCGUCCUCCGGGAUGGAGAGGACACUGUUGGGACCGCCUCUGCUAAAGAGGAGGAAGGAAUGGGCAACGGUAGGUCAGCAUGCCCCGAAUUAACUGGGCUACACGCGGGCUACAAUGGGUGGGACAAUGGGUAUCGACACCGAAAGGUGAAGGCAAUCUCCUAAACCCAUCCGUAGUUCGGAUUGU
rnacentral:rRNA from 1 species